UACAGAGGUCCCAAGCGUUGUUCGGAUUCAUUGGGCGUAAAGGGUGCGUAGGCGGCGCGGUAAGUCGGGUGUGAAAUCUCGGAGCUUAACUCCGAAACUGCAUUCGAUACUGCCGUGCUUGAGGACUGGAGAGGAGACUGGAAUUUACGGUGUAGCGGUGAAAUGCGUAGAUAUCGUAAGGAAGACCAGUGGCGAAGGCGGGUCUCUGGACAGUUCCUGACGCUGAGACACGAAAGCCAGGGGAGCGAACGGG
rnacentral:rRNA from 1 species